rnacentral:ncRNA from 2 species
AGUAAAUAAAAAGGGUGCUCACUGAAGUGGGCUGAGAUAAAGCUAUUGCGCUUUGACCUUCGACCUGAUUUGGAUAAUGCCAACGUAGGGAUAUAAUGACAGCAUACU